GCGACCGUAGCUCAAUUGGAUAGAGCGACUGGCUUCGGACCAGUAGGUUGAAGGUUCGAGUCCUUCCGGCCGCACCA
rnacentral:tRNA from 1 species